ACUCAAGAAGCUAAUGUAAAGCGGUUAGCCUGCAAAGCUAAUUAUAGGAGGUGUUUUCCCUUGGGUU
rnacentral:tRNA from 1 species